AAAGAAAAAAAAAAAAAAAAAAAAAACUGGCAGAGUUGCAGUGAGACACCGUGUGAGGCGGCUUUCCCUACCGCGAUGGCGAUGACGUUUGGUGCCAGCGUGCUGAGAGUAAGCGGAGGUGCCCGUUCAAAUAUGCUCCAUUACUCUUCCUCCUUAUCCACACACAUUCCUCUUCCUCGUAGCUAUCUUUAUCUCACAAAUGGAAGAACCCGAGGUAGAAGGACUGCAGCGAUUGCCUCAGUGAGAACGUUCUGCAGCAGCGACAACACCACAAGUGCCACAACCGAUGCUGCUGUUGUUGACGGCGAGAUUGCUAACAAUAGCUGCAGCAUAAAGGAUGCAGGUAACGUGCUCGAUUUAAGGGUCGGACGGAUAGUGAGGGCGUGGAAGCACGAGGAGGCAGAUUCUCUGUACGUGGAAGAGGUGGACAUUGGGGAAGCAGAACCCAGAGUCAUCUGCAGUGGCCUCGUCAAAUACAUCCCAAUUCAUCUUCUUCAGGACAAGAAGGUCGUGGUCCUCGCCAAUCUCAAACCCAGGAACAUGCGUGGUGUCAAGUCCUCUGGAAUGCUUAUGGCUGCUUCCGAUGCAGCCCACGAAACAGUUGAGCUUCUUGAGCCUCCUGAGUCUUCGGCCCCUGGUGAAAGGAUCUGGUUUGGUUCUCCGGAGGACGAGGAUCAUCUGCCAACCCCAGCCACUCCCAAUCAGAUUUCGAAGAGAAAGGUUUGGGAGAUGGUGCAGCCUCAUCUCAAAUCUGAUGCUACUUGUAAUGCCAUGCUGGGGGAGCAUUACAUGCGGACCUCUGUAGGCGUAGUGGUUUGUCCAUCUCUGAAGAAUGCAAAUAUCUCCUGACUGGUCCGUGAUAGUUCGCGCUCUUUGAUGCCAUGAAUGUUCUCUGUCUCCAAGGCUCUGUUGAAGAAUCCUGGAUGCGAGGGAGAAGAAAACCAUGAAUGUUUAUGUGUCCAAAAGACAAGUUUAUUGCUCUUUGCGAAUUCACAUGUAUCAAGGAGUCAAAUUCACUCUCUAUAUGACUACUUAAAUUAAUUUUUGCCUUGGAUCACUGAUACUUGUCUCAGAUUCUGACUAGUGAGAGAACUAUCGCGAAGUUUAAUUCACCAAAACUCUAAUUUUUCGAUA